UGCAGUCGAGCGAACUGAUUAGAAGCUUGCUUCUAUGACGUUAGCGGCGGACGGGUGAGUAACACGUGGGCAACCUGCCUGUAAGACUGGGAUAACUUCGGGAAACCGAAGCUAAUACCGGAUAGGAUCUUCUCCUUCAUGGGAGAUGAUUGAAAGAUGGUUUCGGCUAUCACUUACAGAUGGGCCCGCGGUGCAUUAGCUAGUUGGUGAGGUAACGGCUCACCAAGGCAACGAUGCAUAGCCGACCUGAGAGGGUGAUCGGCCACACUGGGACUGAGACACGGCCCAGACUCCUACGGGAGGCAGCAGUAGGGAAUCUUCCGCAAUGGACGAAAGUCUGACGGAGCAACGCCGCGUGAGUGAUGAAGGCUUUCGGGUCGUAAAACUCUGUUGUUAGGGAAGAACAAGUACGAGAGUAACUGCUCGUACCUUGACGGUACCUAACCAGAAAGCCACGGCUAACUACGUGCCAGCAGCCGCGGUAAUACGUAGGUGGCAAGCGUUAUCCGGAAUUAUUGGGCGUAAAGCGCGCGCAGGCGGUUUCUUAAGUCUGAUGUGAAAGCCCACGGCUCAACCGUGGAGGGUCAUUGGAAACUGGGGAACUUGAGUGCAGAAGAGAAAAGCGGAAUUCCACGUGUAGCGGUGAAAUGCGUAGAGAUGUGGAGGAACACCAGUGGCGAAGGCGGCUUUUUGGUCUGUAACUGACGC
rnacentral:rRNA from 1 species